rnacentral:rRNA from 1 species
UACAGAGGGGGCAAGCGUUGUUCGGAAUUACUGGGCGUAAAGGGCGCGUAGGCGGCCUUCUAAGUCGAACGUGAAAUCCCUGGGCUCAACCCAGGAACUGCGUCCGAUACUGGGAGGCUUGAAUCCGGGAGAGGGAUGCGGAAUUCCAGGUGUAGCGGUGAAAUGCGUAGAUAUCAGGAGGAACACCGGUGGCGAAGGCGGGUCUCUGGGCCGAUACUGACGCUGAGGAGCGAAAGCGUGGGGAGCGAACAGG